AAAUAAUUCACCCGUCACCAAGAGAUUUCUGCAUUGAUUUUCGCAAGUUUUAUAUAUCACUUCACUUUGCAAUGACGAAAAAUUCCGAUACAUAGAGCCUACUGACGAAAAACAAUGCAAAAUGGAUAUACGAAUAAACAAAAAGAAAAAAUGCCGCAAGCUUGUUUAUAAAACAACAAAUUAAAACAAAAAAGCAACUAACCAAAAUUACUGGCGGCAGCCAUUUUCCUUAGCAGCGGACAAAUGUCAAUAUAAAAGUGCAUUAACCUCGAAAUUUGGUGCUACGAAAAAAACUGAAAUAUAUGUAAGUGAGCGCUUAGAGCAAGCUGAUUCCUCUAAACACAAAGCAUAGCGAGUAAAUGCGAAAAUCAUGUUGCUAGCAGAACACAUAACCCCCCACAACUUGGAGUGGUCCUCAACUAGCGCCAGCCAAAGAGUUGUGCAGCUAUUAAUGCAGCUUAGAGUGCAAUUAUCACGCAUGCGCGCACACUACCAACAAUAAUACCUUUUAAAAAUACAAUAUAUUAACAAUAUAUGCAUGCACAUGUACAGUGGUGGCCACAAAUCAUAUUACAAAUCAUUACAUAUAACAACACAACCAAAAGUAGCAGAGAAAUACCGCUACACUACAGUUGCUUGUAAGUAGUCGCGAGAGUUACAUUUAUUUUGUCCGUUUGUCGCAUUUGUUUUGAGUUAUUAUAAAAAUGAAAUUAUUUGUAUCUUUCAGGAUGGAGUUUGUUUAAUUUGAAAAUAGUAUAUUAAAAGUAAAAAUAAAGUAGAAAAAUUGUAUAUAAUAAAAGUGGCGGCCGCCAUAGACGAAUGAGGGUUGAUGCGCAAAAAGAAUGAUAGAAACAAAAUUGCGCUCAUCAGAGAGUGCUUGACGUCGUUGUGCAGUGUUGCCAACCAUUUGCUCUUCGCAAUAAAUUUUGUGCUUUUUUAUACCCAAAACGCGAAAAUUUUUAAGUUUGGUGUUUGUUUCUUUUUUUAUUUUUAUUUAAAGCUACCGAAACAAAAAAAUGGUAAAAAAGGUCACUGUGAGAAAAUGUCGUAUUUAUUUUCUUUAAAUGGGCAUUUUAGUGCGUUUUUAUAUCCAAAGCUAGGCAACACUGCAGCAGCGAGAGAGAGAUUUGGCUGCUGAAAGGAGAAGAACACCAACAACACCUAAAAAAAGUAAAGCUAAAUAAAACUGAAUAAAUUAUUGAACUAAUUAAAAAAAUUGUAUAUUUUACAAAAUCAAAAGCGUUAUAUUUUAAUUAGAACAGGCUAGAGAAAUGUCAUGAAGAAAGAACUAAAACUCCGAGAAUAAAUAACAAAAAACUGCUAAAUCAAGUUACGAAAAUAGUAAUGUGGUCAUACUGGUGCUAAUACGGCGUCGCUCAUUGUCAAAU